rnacentral:rRNA from 1 species
UACGGGGGGAGCAAGCGUUGUUCGGAAUUACUGGGCGUAAAGCGCACGUAGGCGGCUUUGUAAGUUAGAGGUGAAAGCCCGGGGCUCAACUCCGGAAUUGCCUUUAAGACUGCAUCGCUAGAAUUGUGGAGAGGUGAGUGGAAUUCCGAGUGUAGAGGUGAAAUUCGUAGAUAUUCGGAAGAACACCAGUGGCGAAGGCGACUCACUGGACACAUAUUGACGCUGAGGUGCGAAAGCGUGGGGAGCAAACAGG